GAAGAAGACCGCUUUUCUGCCGUCUCGGGCAGCGUCGAGCAACAGCUGAAGGCCGAGCGUGGUCUUGCC
rnacentral:sRNA from 1 species